CCCUUAGAUGUUCUGGGCCGCACGCGUGCUACACUGAGUGGAUCAGCGGGUCAGGUUGCGCGAAAGCGUUUCCUAAUCUUUAAAUCCGCUCGUGAUGGGGAUUGACGGUUGCAAUUUUCUGUCAUGAACGAGGAAUACCUUGUAAGCGCGGGUCAUCAUCCCGCGCUUAAUACGUCCCUGCCCUUUGUACACACCGCCCGUCGCUCCUACCGAUUGAGUGGUCCGGUGAGGCUUUGGGAUCUGAGCGGAAAGAGCGUUUCGCUGUUUCUGCUCGGAAAACUCAGUCGAACCUUAUCAUUUAGAGGAAGGAGAAGUCGUAACA
rnacentral:rRNA from 1 species